GUUAGUGGAAUUAGUUUAUUUAUUUUACUUAAUUAACAUUAGAAGGGCAGAAAAUAAAAAGGGUUACAAAAUACUGCAAACGUGAGGAACAAAGCGAAGCGGAAGAUCGUGAGCAUUCCGAAACUUUGCGAAAAGGGAAGGAACUAUCUUGAAGAUUUGUGGCACGAGGUUCGCCUCUUAAGAUUCGAUUCCGAGUAGGAGCACAUCUCGUGGAGCAAAUUGAGUCCGAGCUUGGAGUUUUUUUGGAGUCGUGGUGAGCUGCUUGGCUGUUCCGUGGCCCACACCUCCCUCUAUCUUUUAUUUAUUUUGUUAUUAGU